UACGGAGGGUGCAAGCGUUACCCGGAAUCAUUGGGCGUAAAGCGUCCGCAGGCGGUUUUUUAAGUCAAAUAUUAAAUCUCGUGGCCCAACCACGAGGCCGUGUUUGAAACUGAAAAACUAGAGUAUUUCAGAGGCAAGCGGAAUUCUGUGUGUAGGGGUAAAAUCCGUAGAUACACAGAGGAACACCAAAAGCGAAGGCAGCUUGCUGGGAAAUUACUGACGCUCAUGGACGAAAGCGUGGGUAGCGAACGGG
rnacentral:misc_RNA from 1 species